ensembl:lncRNA
AAGGUGAGCUCUGAACAUUUGAUCUGGAACAGGAAUUCAAUAAUGGCAGCAUGAGCUUCAUUUCAGUCUGUAGCUGCUGAAUUCAUGGAUGAAUCAUCUGGCACUAGAGAGGAAGACCAUCAAACAUCCAUGUCAGCUGAUGGAGGUCCAAGAGUCUCACCAAACAAACAACCUACAGAGUGAAGACCUCCAAUCUGAUUGGACGGCCUCCUAUUCAGCCACAUGCUACAGGAGGAGCCCUACGAGGACGAGCCGGUCCACCUGAUGGCGGCCAGUCGCUGCGGUUCAAAGCCAACACCGACUACGUGGACUUCUACUGGACCACACGGAGGCCUUCAAACCGGACCAACAAGUUCAGCGACUCCCCGACUCGUGGGUCUGAGGACGCCGCCGAGCCUCGGUCCAGCCGGCCUCCUGUCUGUGGGUGUUUGAGUGCUGAGAGACCUGACCGUGAACACCGUUGACACCUACCUGAGGGAGACGCUGUCUAAGAUCUCAAGGCUGCUUGGUCGUGGUCUUUCUGGCCCUGCUCCAGAACGCCUUCAUCAACUACGUCUUCUUUUGAAGAGGCCCUCAGAUGCUGCAAUCUCUGACCUUAAGGAGGAACUGCUACUUUCACUCUGUAACGAGACCGCAGUUAUUUUAAAGACCCAGCUCCUGGCGGCUUUGAGUGAAAGUUUAACACCCAUCAGAACGGAACUACAGACAGUUAAAUCUGAGCUG